GACGAACGCUGGCGGCGUGCCUAACACAUGCAAGUCAAGGAGAAAGGGGUAGCAAUAUCCCGAGUACACUGGCGCACGGGUGAGUAAGGCGUAGGCAACCUGCCUAUUGGACGGGAAUAACUCAGCGAAAGCUGGACUAAUACCCGAUAAUGCAGCGGCAUCGCAUGAUGAUGUUGUUAAAAGCCCGCAAGGGUGCCAAUAGAUGGGCCUGCGUCCCAUUAGGUAGUUGGUGAGGUAACGGCUCACCAAGCCCACGAUGGGUAGCUGGUCUGAGAGGAUGAUCAGCCACACUGGAACUGAGACACGGUCCAGACUCCUACGGGAGGCAGCAGUGAGGAAUAUUGCGCAAUGGCCGAAAGGCUGACGCAGCGACGCCGCGUGAGGAUGAAGUCCGUAGGAUGUAACCUCUUUGUAGGGAUGAAUGUUCCGUUCACCGGGAUUGACCGUACCUGCGAAUAAGGAUCGG
rnacentral:rRNA from 1 species